rnacentral:rRNA from 1 species
GGUUAUGAUACUUAACGAAUCGAUGGCUUGUCGCGGCGAUGGUUCAUUCAAAUUUCUGCCCUAUCAACUUUCGAUGGUAGGAUAGUGGCUACCAUGGUAUCAACGGGUAACGGGGAAUUAGGGUUCUAUUCCGGAGAGGGAGCCUGAGAAACGGCUACCACAUCCAAGGAAGGCAGCAGGCGCGCAAAUUACCCAAUCCCGACACGGGGAGGUAGUGACAAUAAAUACUGAUACAGGGCUCUUUUGGGUCUUGUAAUUGGAAUGAGUACAAUUUAAAUCUCUUAACGAGGAACAAUUGGAGGGCAAGUCUGGUGCCAGCAGCCGCGGUAAUUCCAGCUCCAAUAGCGUAUAUUAAAGUUGUUGCAGUUAAAAAGCUCGUAGUUGAAUUUUAGGCCUGGUUGGACGGUCUGCUCUAGGGUUUGUACUGUCCUGACUGGGUCUUACCUUCUGGUGAGCUGUCGUAUUGUAUACUCAGUGCGGCAGGGAACCAGGACUUUUACUUUGAAAAAAUUAGAGUGUUAAAGCAGGCAUUCGCUUGAAUACAUUAGCAUGGAAUAAUAGAAUAGGACUUGGUUACUAUUAGGAGGAAUACUAAGGACCGAAGUAAUGAUUACAUAGGGAUAGAUGGGGGGCCAUUAGAAUUUCACUUGUCAGAGGUGAAAAUUCUUGGAUUAUUAAAGGAUA